rnacentral:tRNA from 1 species
AAUAAAGUAAGCUAAAUGUAAGCUAUUGGGUUCAUACCCCAAAAAUAGAUUUUUAAAAAUCUUUUUAUUA